UACGGAGGGUGCAAGCGUUAUCCGGAUUUACUGGGUUUAAAGGGUGCGUAGGUGGGUAAGUAAGUCAGUGGUGAAAUCUUCGAGCUUAACUCGGAAACUGCCAUUGAUACUAUUUAUCUUGAAUACUUUGGAGGUAAGCGGAAUAUGUCAUGUAGCGGUGAAAUGCUUAGAUAUGACAUAGAACACCGAUAGCGAAGGCAGCUUGCUACACAAUUAUUGACACUGAGGCUCGAAAGCGUGGGGAUCAAACAGG
rnacentral:rRNA from 1 species